rnacentral:rRNA from 1 species
AUGAUCGUGAAGAGCAUCAGCUUGAGGAAGUGGGAGAGGAUGUUCCGGGGCUUGGGCGAGGUCAGGUUGAGGGCGUCCUCGCCGUCGCCGUCGACCGCCACGACGCGGUCGAUCUUGACGCAGACGUCGUGGACGUGGGGCACGAGCCCGUUGAACCGCUUGGACGCGGCGGAGCAGCGGCCGAGGGAACGCACGUCCUCCACCUUGUUGAGGAUGAGCAGGACGAGCGAGUCCGGCAGGCAGUCGAACAGGUCGAGCUCGAGCUCGAGCGCCGGGUCCGCGUGGAUUCGGGCCUUGGGAAGCAUCGCGCCGCCGGAAGGUCACGCCUUCUGCGCCGCCCGCCCACCCACCCCGCGGAACAAACGGCACCAAGAUUGCCGGGAAUGGGCAAGAACAGGCUGCUCGACCUUGGCUCUUCGGAUGGCUCGCGCAAUGGCAGCAACCGCCCGCCAAAUCGACGCGACGCGACCGCCUGAAGGGAAGGAGAAGAGGAACAGCUCAGAGCACGGACGGGAAACAUCAGAGACAUGGAUGAAAUGUCAAGGGAUUGAAGCAACAUGCAGCAAAAUCACCAUCAACAAUCGAAGGGGACCUCAAAUGAAGAACCGGGCGAGUGGAAUCCACCAAUCUUUUACAUACCUCAGCCGCCGGUCGCCACCACCGCCGCAGCCGCGCGCGGACGAACAACUAACCCAGGCGAGCAAAUCGGACCGAGACCCGCCCAGAACCCGCGCUCUCCGCCGGAUCCGACGCCGGCGAGCGCCUGGGAGGCCAGGGAACCGCCCGAAAACUCCCCGCAAUUCCCCGCCCGACCGACCGACCGACCGCGGCGCGGCUGCUCCGGCGAGCAGAUGCAACGCACUCCGCGAGCUCCGAUUCGGCGGGCUCCCGGCGGCAAUCCGGCGAGGGUGCUGGCUAGGGUUUAUCGGAGGCGAGGGAUUGGGGAUAUUUUUCUCCGCUCCUCCCGGCGGCAGCUGUUUUUCUCUAGCUCGUGCGGUCGCAGAGGAACAACGAGAGUGCUUCUGCUCUGCUCUCCGGCACCACUCGACGGUGGGCGGCUUUUAA